GGCGUCAUAGUGUAGGGGCUAACAUCUCUGAUUUUCGCUCAGAAGACGAGGGUUCGACUCCCUCUGGCGCUACUA
rnacentral:tRNA from 1 species